UACGGAGGGUGCAAGCGUUAAUCGGAAUUACUGGGCGUAAAGCGCACGCAGGCGGUUUGUUAAGUCAGAUGUGAAAUCCCCGGGCUCAACCUGGGAACUACAUUUGAAACUGGCAAGCUAGAGUCUCGUAGAGGGGGGUAGAAUUCCAGGUGUAGCGGUGAAAUGCGUAGAGAUCUGGAGGAAUACCGGCGGCGAAGGCGGCCCCCUGGACGAAGACUGGCGCUCAGGUGCGAAAGCGUGGGGAGCAAACAGG
rnacentral:rRNA from 1 species